CGGGACGUGGCGCAGCCUGGUAGCGCACCGCCUUUGGGUGGCGGGGGUCCCCGGUUCGAAUCCGGGCGUCCCGA
rnacentral:tRNA from 1 species